UGAAUAAAUUAUAUUUUAUUAUAAAACAAACAUUUGAUGUUUAUUAGGGUGUACAUUAUAAUAAUGCUGGGUACACCCUUAGAGAUCCUGUGAAGUGACUCAUACUAGGGCACAGCAGGUUGAUAUGUACUGUAUGUCAGAAGAACAUUAGGACUUCUCCGAUUGUGACUUGUCCUUGUUCUCUUGGCUGUCAUUGGUGUCCUUCUUGUCACUCUCAUGACCAUUGGACUCCAGAAUGUCUGUCUCGGGGACUUGCAGUGCUUGGAACUGGGCAGGCUCAGCAGGAAAGUGGAGGGCUGUGGAAGUGUUUCGGCCUCUCCUCCUCCCUAGGCCUUGAGGACUAGGCAGGCUGUGCAGGGAGCUCUUUGACCCCUGUCUGGAGAACUGGAAGGACAGCUGACGUCUCUGUGGCUUACACCAGUCUUUGGGGACGUUCCAGCUCAACUUCUUGGGCCUCGGUUGGGUACAGCUGUUGCCCUGAUUCGUGUUCAGGGCCGGAGCCUCCACAUUGGGGGACAGAUCUACUGGAGUCCCAGGCUUACUUGAGGCCUGCUCAUGCCCUGUCUGUUGGGAGAAGGCCUCUAUAUGAUUCAGGGGUUGUGGAGCCCCAGAUAACGCCCCACACGUCCCUCCAUCUCCCCCAUAACCACUAUCCCCAUGAUCAUCAGAAGAAGCAGGUGGACUUACCACCCACUGAGGCAGGUCUGUGAAGGACGGCGUACGGGGCUCAGUGUCCAGGGAAGAAAGAGUACUGCUAACCUCCCGUAGCGUAUCCAGAGGGUGGUUGGUCGAGAGGGGGUUAUGGGAGUUAAAGAGGUUGGGUCUGGGGAACAGAGAGUGAUCAGGUCCUGGGGAGGCCUGGUCGUCUGAUCCAGGGUAGUCAUGGGAGUCAGGUCUGAAGGGGAAGAAGGCCUCACUGCUGUGACGUUUGAAGGAGGGCCGAGGAGGGACGAGCUCUGGGGGAUCCUGGACGCUGAGAAGCCUACGCACGUGCCCCAGGACUGACGUUUGACGACCAUGACGGAAGUUGUGAUUGCUGUUGUGGCUGUCCUGUCUGUGAAUGUCCGCCUCUCCGAACUGAAAAAUGCCCGAUAGACUGAAAGAUAAGAGGAUAUUACAGUGAAUACUUUAGACUAGAUAGUAUACAGGUUAUGGAUAUUACAGUGAAUACUUUAGUCUAGAUAGUAUACAGGUUAUGGAUAUUACAGUGAAUACUUUAGUCUAGAUAGUAUACAGGUUAUGGAUAUUACAGUGAAUACUUUAGUCUAGAUAGUAUACAGGUUAUGGAUAUUAGUGAAUACGUUAGACUAGAUAGUAUACAGGUUAUGGAUAUUACAGUGAAUACAUUAGUCUAGAUAGUAUAUAGGUUAUGGAUAUUAGUGAAUACAUUAGACUAGAUAGUAUACAGGUUAUGGAUAUUACAGUGAAUACAUUAGACUAGAUAGUAUACAGGUUAUGGAUAUUACAGUGAAUACUUUAGUCUAGAUAGUAUACAGGUUAUGGA
ensembl:lncRNA